CACAGGACAUGUUAGAACAGGCAACUGCAGCUUUUUGUUUAACGGUACCUUUUUAGUAUAGAUUCAGGAACAGUUCUAUCCUCUACUGGAACCAAAAAUGAUAGACCAGUUGCUAGAACCAUUUCUCGACACCCAUAAGGGAAAGAACAUUUACUUAAUUUUUGUGGUUAUCUGCCUUAUUGUGUCUGAAAAGUUUAUCGAGGCUGACUUUGUGUGCCCAUGCGAAAGGUUCUAUAGAAACCUUUUUUUCUGGAUUUACCUUCUGAUGCCCGCCUUUAUAGGAUACGUCGCCAUGUUUUACAUUGUGAGGAAUGUGGAAAAGUCUGCUACGACAAGUGGAGGACCAGACAGCCAACCUGAGGGAGGUGGGAGUUCUGAUAUUAAUGCUGGGGUGACUAAUGUUCCACCUCCAAGCAGUGGCACUCCUCUGGGAAAAGUAGAAACCAUGAAAGGCAGCAAAUGCUGCAUAACGUCCAAAACUGUCUGCCAGUGCUUUCAGUACUUGAUUCCUAGUAUUGUUUGGAUUGUCUUGUUCUUAAGUGAUGGAAGAUACGUGGCUUGUUAUCAGACUAUAAGUGCAGAACAUGCUGAAAGCAGUCAGCAGGCUCUUUGGGAAUGGUGUGACCUAAACCAAACCCUGACAGCUGAACAGAACAUAGCAGAGAAAUCAUAUUACACAUCGAAGUUAUCUGGUUUUGGUCUCCUCUUCUUAUUCUCGUUAUUGGCUCUGGUCUAUCAAUGCUUUUAUGUCCAUGGAGAAAGAUGCCCCACUGCAACCCAUAGAUGGACCCGGCUGACUGGCAGAGUGGUCUGAAAGAGUCAUCAGAGCCAUCAACAACCUACACAUUUACAAAUAUCAGCAAUCUGUUUAGAAAUUAUAUGUAAAGACUUUCUAUGAAUAAUUUAUUUGUUUGUAAAUGUAAUUAUGCAAGUGUCAGUUGUAUUCUUUGGUGACUAUGGUGAGCACAAACAAAUAAGAGCUAGAAUAGCUUGCUGGUUUUUACUGGCUUCAAAUUAGCUAGGGAGAUUGGCUUAAGCUUUGAAUAUUUAAAUAGUGUCUAAUAAAACAAAUUGUAACUUUUUGUUUGUGUUGGGA
rnacentral:lncRNA from 1 species